GGGAAAAGACUAGGGCUGACGUGAUUUGAUUUGAGGGAGUAUUUAUUAUGGCUGAUGUGUUUGGGAGGCAACACAAAGUUAGAUCUGAAGAGAGUGUUUAGGGUUUCUGGCAAACAACAAGACACCAGCUUCUGUCCUCCUCACUUGAAAUCAAAUUCUAGACCGCCUUGCCUUCCUUUUCACUGCACUCUUCUUCGAAUGGAAACAGCGCUUUGCUAUUUUCAUUUUUAAAAUAGGCAUUGGAUUCAUUCCCCAAUCCCCAAUCCCCAAUGCCUAUUUUAAAAUGAAAACAACCUUACCCUGUUUUCGUUUGAAACUGUUGUAAAGGAAGAUGACGCUGACAGUUCCUGAAUUUGAUUUCAGCUGAAGAGGAUCUUUUUAUUACCCAACAAUCCAUAAACCAUUGCUUUAUGUGCGGGUAUUACAAUGGUUCUGCUUAUCCCCUGCUAAGGCUAGCCAGAGGAAGUACUGAAACUUUAUCCCAAAAAGAAGCCUUGGUUUUAAGGGAAUUUUCCCCUUUUUAUGCUGUCCUAUCCAAUCAUUAUAUUUGCAAAAAAAUUAUUCUCGAACAUGACACCUAUUUGACACGUUAAGAGGAAAAAAAUAGAAGAAAAGAAAGAUAGUUAUUAUGAUUGGUGGUAAUAAUUUGAUAAAAUAACAUAGAAAAAAUGAUAGGUUUUAAUAGUGUUUAUAAUUAUGAGUUGUCUAAAUAUUAGACUUAAAUACCAUUGUAUCUAGGUGCUUCAUAUGCUAUCCCUGCAGCACGCAAAAGGCUAGAUUUUUUUUUUAUAUUUAUGCUCCCUUGAUUCAUAGUAAACCGCAAAAUCACUCGGACACAACCCGUUAACUGUUCUGAUCUUAGUUUGCUAUAUUCUUUGUAUGGUUACAAAUGUAAGAAGGAAGGCUAUUUUAGCCAAUGACGCCGCUGGAGAACAUCUGGAUUAUGGACUUUUAUGUACAUAUUACAAUGUGCAUGGCGAGGGGAAGUUAUUUGUAAAUUGAUUUGUGGCUUCCGCAUUUAUAAUAUAGUUUAAAAAAUAGUUUUGAUUUGAUUUCAAGCCUUUUAGAAGAUAUUUUAGCCAAAGGGCCUGUUUGCUUAUUGCUUUCAAAAACUUUUUUUUUUUUUUUAAAUAAUGAAAACUUGUUUCAUAUGCAUGUCAUGUGAAAAUUGUUUUUAAAAUAUUUACUUUUCAGAUUUUAACAUAUAAAUAAUAAUAAUAAUAAUAACAUAAUUGAGUUGUUCUUGUUCUGUUUUCUACACCUUUUCGUUUCCAAAACUAAGAAAAAGACGGAGAAAAAAGGAUGGUCAUCCCGUAAUUAUUGGACAAUUAAUCAUAUAACAAAUGAAAAGCAUUUUGGCUUCUGCCGUACCUGAUUGUUGCCACAUUCGUGAGUUCGUUAUGCUCAAGACUGUGUCGUGUGAUGUUGCAAGUGUGCUUGGUUGUUUACAGUGUUUGAUAUGCAGGGUUCAUGAAUUUGGUGGCUGGUUGUUGGUCUAUGGCAUCAGUUAAGUUAGAAGUGUGUAUUACAAAACCCUCUCUCUCUCUUGCUAACUGAUGAUAAAAAAAUGUCUCAUUUGUUUUAUUGUAAUUGAUCACUCAGCUGCAAUGCAAUAUGUGAUAUGGAGGAACAAGCAUCAAGUGUGAAAAUUUCAGACAUUUAUGGAAUUUCAAAGUUGCUCAGAUUGUUUUUGAAUUAGUUAAUAUUUGUAGUUUCUUGGAACAGAGAAAAGUAAAGUUCCAAGGAUGUGGAAGAGAUAUGUAAUGCGCAAUUCCACAUGCUUAUGUUGAGCAAGAUUACUUUUAUUAUUUGUGUUUGUGCUUUAGUGGUUGUUUCCAAACAUGGUGCUUUGCACUUUUUACAAAAUAAAAAAUUAACAAUUUUGUGUUGGUUAUACUAUAGUAUUUUACUCGCUAUUAGUUUCUACCCUCAAUCUAAACACAUUAUUUGACACUUCCUAUUAUUUUGUUAAAGGAAGAAACUAAUCAUCCCAUUGAUAUUUAUGGUGCCAAAUCAUUAUAAAAAAAAAAAAAAAAA